AUGUUAAAUUAUUGCUCCGACAACUACAUCGUUAGCUUCGAUCCUCUCGACGGUUCCUCCAACAUCAUCGCUGCAGUUUCCACCGGUUCCAUAAAAGGUGUCUACAGCCCCUACCACUCCAAUGAUAUUUCCACUGUAAAUGAACUACUCUCCCUUUCACCUUCCACAUGGCCACUCAGAAAAGAUACACAAUGUUCAUAAUGUUGUUGAUCUACUGCUGUAUGUUCCUUGCAACUUUGGUCAGAAGAACAAAUAUGUAUAGCAAACGCGUGACAACCUGGGCACAACUUGGUAGCAGCCGGCUACUGUAUGUACUGGAGCUCAGUUAUCUUUGUUCUUAUGCACGGCGAGUUUGUCCUCACGCAAGAGAACAUUGAGAUCCCUAAAACCGGGAAAAUAUACUAUUUCAAAGAAGAAAACUACCAGAUGUGGGACGAGAGUCUGAGGAAGUACAUUGAUGAUCUCAAGGACCCUGGUCCACAUGAAAAAUCUUACUCGGCUAGGUACAUUGGAAGUUUGGUCGGAAAUUUUCACAGGAAUUUGUUGUACAGUGGGAUUUAUGGGUGCUGCCAAGAGCAAAAAUGGAAUGCUUAAGCUUUUGUAUGAGUGUGCACCGAAGAGUUUCAUGUUGAACAAGGUUGAGGAAAAUGAUCAUAUGGUCACCAGAGAGAACUAUAUCCAACCGACCAAGGUAACUCAAAACACAUUUCAUGUUUAGUUUAUUACAGUAGCUUAUAUCCAACGUUUGGGUGUCAUCAGACAAAAAAAAAAUCAUAGGGAUUCAGAUAUAUUCAUCAAUGGGUUCCGCUUUACAAUGGAAGCAAAGUAGAAGUGAAGAUGCUGGAGAAGUACUUGGCUCGAGUCAUGUACCAAUCAUAAGCCCUUAGAGUCUAAGGCUUAGACUUCUAUUGUAAGCCAUUUUCUGACUACAUGGUACAUCUCAAAUUCCCAAGAGAUGCAUAACUGAUGAAAGUUCUAUUUUGUUAUCUAUGUCAAUAAAGACGAAUCCGAUGUUUUACUAUAAAGCCAAAACCAAGUUAAAUUUAUACAAAGUAACGUAAGAAGUCACAUGUAUUUCCAAGAUUCAUGAUUUUUAGUUCUGUAACUAUUUUUUUUUUUGUGAGAUCAAUGCAUUAACCCCGAUUAUAGUAUAUAAAAAAGAAUCACAUCCCAUUACUAUGUUUUCCAAAAUUUUAGCCAAGCCAUAAAACCAAGCUAAUAGUUCGUUUAAGGAUUUAUGAAGCUAAGAACAUAAGAAUCCUGAACCAAUUUUAAAUAAUAGUUAUAGAUAAAGAACAUAAUAUACUCUCUUACAAAUCCACACUAAAUAUAAAUUAUUAUAGAUAAUUUAACAAAAUGUUACAAAAAGUCGAGAAAAUCAAUAACUUAAGCUCACCAUCACCAUACAUAGCUAUAUUAUCUUACAUUACUUUCAACUUUGAAUUCACACAAAUAACCAAAGAAUGAAUAAGAAACCAUUUUUCUCUUAUAAGUUCUCACACCUCCAUCAUACACUCCAAAUCUACAUACACAUGUCCAAUACACAACAAUCUAUUAAUGAUUUCCAGCUACAAUCUAUCAUCGGCAAUCAAGGUAAUUUUAAUAACUCAACAAAGGUAUGGAGUUCAUAUUAACAUACCAUGAAAUAGAACAUCCCGACUCAACCGUCCUUAUUCAAGAAACAACCCAAUACAUGAUGAAUUUACAAACAUCCGAAGACAAUAACAUAACUGAUGAUCUUUAAGUUAUUCUUACCAUCACAGACUACAACCAAAACGCGAUUGCAAGGCUCGACUUCGACCUUAUUAUCACCAAUUUUGAGGGAACUAAUAGGCCUCCAAUUACAGAAGAAGAAAAUGAUACACGCACAGUAUGCUUCGAAAAUUUCAACAAUGGAACAUGUCUAUGCUCUUUUACUUGAUCAAUGGCUUCGUACAAACAUAAGUUGUCUUAUAUGUAAGGAAAAUUAUCUAUGAAUCAGCAUUAUUACAAUUUAUAAGUGGUUUCUUAUGUUCCAAUUUUCAGCUUCUUUUGCAUAUUUUUUUUUAUUUUUGUUUUAUUUUCAAACAAAAAAAUAUAAAUGUUUUUCCUCAUUCCAUGAUAUGUUUCAUUGCUAGAAUUAGUUUCUCACCAAAAAUCAAAUAACACAGAUGCAACUUAAUUACGUUUUGCUUCACACCUUUAAAUUAAUAUUAUUCUCUAAAAUAAAAUUUUAAAUGUCGUUCCUUUUAUAUACAGUCCAUAUGGUACUUAACAGUAUAUGUAUGUAUGUUGUCUAAAGAAAACAUAUAUUUCACUACUCAAAUCAUAAAACAUAUUCGUUAACCACUACCAAAUAAAUCCAAAAAAUAUUAAUUUCUUUUAACAUAUUUUCAUCUACAUAUUUUUGAAAAAAAAAAAAAUUUACUAAGACGAUAAAAUAAAUUUUAAAUUUAAAAAAAAAAAAAAAUACAUGAACCGGCGCAUUAUCUGAGGUUUCAAAUCAGUGCUUCGUUACAACUUUUGGUAAAAAGGGAACCGAUGAGUAAUGGGCCUUGAGUACAAAACGAAGCCCAAUAACAACUUAACAGCCCAAUAACAAUUUAAGAGCACAAUACCGAACAGAGAGACUUGAGUCGAUUUCAUCUGAAGAAUCCUGGCCGGCGAAGACCACAACAAAAAAGUUCCGAGGAAUAAGUAAAAGGAGGAAGAAGAUGAUCUACCGAAAGUGGAGUCUGCUUUCCGGACCACCGGUUAUACUCGGCGGAGCCGUAGUUGCUGCCGUCGCCGUUGGCAUCCUCGUACAGAACGUUACCAAAGGGGAACAAAAGAAGAAUGUCUCAUCAAACAAGUGAAGAGGGAAAAGAUGGGAAGAAGAUGCUACAAAUAAACUGUCUAGUGUGUGAGUUGAAAUAUUUAGUUCAUGCAGUGUAAGCUCAAUAAUUAAUGAUUUUGGAAGCUUUUUCAAAUAUGCACAUCUCUUUUGGUGUUUUGGAUUCUUAUUCACAAUAAUUAUAUUUCAUUUUGCGCA